rnacentral:rRNA from 1 species
AGAUUGAACGCUGGCGGCAUGCCUAACACAUGCAAGUCGAACGGGAGUAGCAAUACUCUAGUGGCGGACGGGUGAGGAAUACGUAGGAAUUUGCCCUUAAGUGGGGGAUAACCCGGGGAAACCCGGAUUAAUACCGCAUGACCUCGAAAGAGCAAAGUGGGGGAUCGCAAGACCUCACGCUUUUGGAGAAGCCUACGUCAGAUUAGCUAGUUGGUGGGUAAAGGCCUACCAAGGCAACGAUCUGUAGUUGGUCUGAGAGGACGACCAGCCACACUGGGACUGAGACACGGCCCAGACUCCUACGGGAGGCAGCAGUGGGAAUUUGGACAAUGGCGCAAGCCUGAUCCAGCAAUGCCGCGUGCAGGAAGAAGGCCUUCGGUGUAACUGCUUUGUCAGGGAAGAAUCUCGUGGCUUAAGUAGUCCCGGAGGAGU